rnacentral:rRNA from 1 species
UACAGAGACUGCAAGCGUUAUUCGGAUUCACUGGGCGUAAAGGGCGCGUAGGCGGCCUGGCAAGUGGAUGGUGAAAUCCCUCGGCUUAACCGAGGAACUGCCAUCCAGACUGCUUGGCUUGAGACCGGGAGAGGUGAGUGGAAUUCCCAGUGUAGCGGUGAAAUGCGUAGAUAUUGGGAGGAACACCUGUGGCGAAAGCGGCGCACUGGACCACAACUGACGCUGAGGCGCGAAAGCUAGGGGAGCAAACAGG